CUUUGAGCCGCCGAUCCGCAGCCGUUGCUUCGUCUCCAGCCACCAGCUCUUCUGCUGUCUUCUGCUAGUGCCGGACUUCGACGAGUAACGAACUCAGCGAAAUGGUUGCUCGGGUGCUCCUUUUGGCCUUUAUGCUGUUUGCCGUGGCCCAAGCAAUUUCCAUCUACGAUAACGUUUACGAAGAUGAACCAAUCUCUGGUGGGCGCCAGCUGACGGGAGGCGUCCAAGCCGUCGCUCAGCCCGAGUCGUUCGCACUCGGAAGUCGCUACGGCAAGAGAAACGGGAACGCAGACGAUGGAACCGUGAACGUUGCCACCAGAGAUGCAGACAACUCUGACAGCGAGGACCGUCAGUCGGUGGCAACUUACGUCGUCUUUCUUGACAACUGUUUGUGUUCCUGCGCGGUGUGGGUACAUUCGCCCUAGCUGGGAAUGCCAGAGGGGCAACCCAAACGGCGCGCAGGCCGAGGAACGCCGAGACAAGAGGCACGCGACCUGCCGCCUUUUCGGGGAUUAGUGUAAGCAAGAAGCCAUCUGGUGGUCUAAACUAGGACAGUCACUGCACCAAGAAACGUAUUUGCACCAUAUUUACUCACUAUCUAUGUACAAUGUAAUCUGAAAUAAUUCACAAAUGCACAAAUAAAUUAAAGAAUCAAAAC